rnacentral:rRNA from 1 species
GAGUUUGAUCAUGGCUCAGAUUGAACGCUGGCGGCAGGCUUAACACAUGCAAGUCGAACGGUAGCAGGAGAAAGCUUGCUUUCUUGCUGACGAGUGGCGGACGGGUGAGUAAUGCUUGGGAAUCUGGCUUAUGGAGGGGGAUAACUACUGGAAACGGUAGCUAAUACCGCGUAAUAUCGAGAGAUUAAAGACUGGGACCUACGGGCCAGUUGCCAUAAGAUGAGCCCAAGUGGGAUUAGGUAGUUGGUGGGGUAAAGGCCUACCAAGCCCGCGAUCUCUAGCUGGUCUGAGAGGAUGACCAGCCACACUGGAACUGAGACACGGUCCAGACUCCUACGGGAGGCAGCAGUGGGGAAUAUUGCACAAUGGGGGGAACCCUGAUGCAGCCAUGCCGCGUGAAUGAAGAAGGCCUUCGGGUUGUAAAGUUCUUUCGGUGGUGAGGAAGGUAUCAACUUUAAUAGAGUUGGUAAUUGAC